AGAAUCAACGCUGGCGGCGUGCCUAACACAUGCAAGUCGAACGCGAAAACCCCGCAAGGGGUUAGUAGAGUGGCAAACGGGUGAGUAACACGUGGGUGACCUGCCUUCGAGUGGGGGAUAACGUCCCGAAAGGGACGCUAAUACCGCAUGACAUCCUGCUUUUGGAAAAGCGGAGAUCAAAGCUGGGGAUUCGCAAGAACCUAGCGCUUGAAGAGGGGCCCGCGCCUGAUUAGCUAGUUGGUGAGGUAACGGCUCACCAAGGCUACGAUCAGUA
rnacentral:rRNA from 1 species